GACGAACGCUGGCGGCGUGCCUAAUACAUGCAAGUAGAACGCUGAAGGAGGAGCUUGCUCUUCUGGAUGAGUUGCGAACGGGUGAGUAACGCGUAGGUAACCUGCCUGGUAGCGGGGGAUAACUAUUGGAAACGAUAGCUAAUACCGCAUAAGAGUAGAUGUUGCAUGACAUUUGCUUAAAAGGUGCAAUUGCAUCACUACCAGAUGGACCUGCGUUGUAUUAGCUAGUUGGUGGGGUAACGGCUCACCAAGGCGACGAUACAGAGCCGACCUGGGAGGGGGAUCGGCCACACUGGGACUGAGACACGGCCCAGACUCCUACGGGAGGCAGCAGUAGGGAAUCUUCGGCAAUGGACGGAAGUCUGACCGAGCAACGCCGCGUGAGUGAAGAAGGUUUUCGGAUCGUAAAGCUCUGUUGUAAGAGAAGAACGAGUGUGAGAGUGGAAAGUUCACACUGUGACGGUAUCUUACCAGAAAGGGACGGCUAACUACGUG
rnacentral:rRNA from 1 species